rnacentral:rRNA from 1 species
GAUGAACGCUGGCGGCGUGCCUAAUACAUGCAAGUCGAGCGAACAGACGCGGAGCUUGCUCCUCUCACGUUAGCGGAGGACGGGUGAGUCACACGUGGAUAACCUACCUAUCAGUCUGGGAUCACUUCGGGACACCGGCGCUAAUCCCGGAUAAUCUAUUGCACCACGUGGUUCAAUGGUGAAUGUCGGUUUUGCUGUAACUUCUCGCUGGUUCCCAGCCGCUUUAGGUAGUAGUUAAGGUAACGGCUUACCAAGGCAACGAUGCGUGGCCGACCUGAGGGGGUGAUCGGCCACACUGGAACGGAGACACGGUCCAUACGCCUACGGGAGGCAGCAGUAGGGAAUCUGCCGCAAUGGGCGAAAGCUUGACGGAGCAACGCCGCGCGAGUGAUGACGGUCUUCGGAUCGGAAAACUCUGUUAUGAGGGAAGAACAACUGUGUAAGUAACUAUGCACGGCGUGACGGUACCUGAUCAGAAAGCCACGGCUAACUACGUG